UAGUCACUUCCGACAAAACAAUGAGCAC
rnacentral:sRNA from 1 species